AUGCGCGCCCCCUGCCACUGCUUUCUCCAGCACAGCCACACGCGUUCGCUUCCGCUUCCGCGUCCCCCUUGUUCUAUCAGUCAGUGUCAGACUCAGGACUUUCGCCUCGCUCCCGCCUUUUCCUGGGUGCGCGGGCGGGCGGACGCAGGGGAGUGCGCAUGCGCACCCGAUCUGGGCCUUCUCUCGCCUAGCCCGCCCGCCCGUCACUGCCCGUGUAGCGUCGUUGCCCUCACCGCCGCCGAGGCAGCAGAAGCGGCAGCAGCGGCGCGGGAAGGAAGGGAGGCGGGCGAGCGAGCGACAGCGACGGGCACGGGGAGGCAGCACAGGCGGCUCCCGAGCGAGGCAGGGCGAGCGACGCGGCGGGCCCAUCACCGUGCCGGAGACAUACCCGAGGCCACAUGCUACAGAUCAAAAGUAUCGGAAACGACAUGAAACAAAGCAAGAUAGAACCUGGAGAAAAGAAUCAAAAUUUCUCUUUUAUUCCUCAUUAAUGCACAACUUCUUUCUGGUUGCUGAUUGGUUACUUUUUUCUUUCUUUUUGCUCAUAAUGAAUAUUUGAUUUACUAUGGAUAAAUCUUAGACUAGGAACCAUCAAAUUCCUUCAGUGUGUUUUCCAGAAAUCACCUUUUUUAUUAUUAUUUGUCCCAGGGGAACUCAUGUAGCACUGUUGCCUUCUCAGGUUUUGUAGAAGUGUUCAACCUGUAGAUUUUUCUCAGUAUGGUCCCUUGGGCUUACGAAAAUCUAGCGCUUGUCAUUUUAGCAACAAUUUAUCUGCUCCCCCCCUUAUUUUGGAAUAUUAAGGUCCUGACUGUAAAGAUUUUCUACUUAGAUUUGUUUAAAGGAACAGAAAUGUUAUUGUCUGCAAGUCACAUUACUGAACCUUUUUUUUUUUUUGCUGUUGUACAUACUGUGCAUACAGAUUCUCAUCCCAAAAAACUCUUCUCAUUGUAGAUGAGUGGCACAUGUGAUGUUUUGUCAUUAGCUGUCAUGAAAUUUUGUAUUAAUGUGAGCUGCUCUUGAAAAGACUAAUCAGAGUUGGUUUAAAAAUAAUGGGCUAUAUAAAUGCUGAUGUAGAAAACAAUGGUACAGUGAUCUUCCAUACAAAACACAUUCACAGCCCUUCUUGAAAAAUAUAUAUUAGUGAUAAAUAUAUGGGGUGUAAAUUCAAUAAAACUGGAAAGGUUAUUUUUCUUAAGACUGCA
rnacentral:lncRNA from 1 species